rnacentral:rRNA from 1 species
GUCGAACGGAGCCUUAACCAAAGAAGCAGCCAGCUUGCUGGAAGCGGAAAAGGGAAAGGCUUAGUGGCGGACGGGUGAGUAACGCGUGGGUAACCUGGCCCAUACAGGGGGAUAACACUUAGAAAUAGGUGCUAAUACCGCAUAACAACAGAAAGCGCAUGCUUUUUGUUUGAAAACCAAGGUGGUAUGGGAUGGACCCGCGUCUGAUUAGCUGGUUGGCGGGGUAAAGGCCCACCAAGGCGACGAUCAGUAGCCGGCCUGAGAGGGUGGACGGCCACAUUGGGACUGAGACACGGCCCAAACUCCUACGGGAGGCAGCAGUGGGGAAUAUUGCACAAUGGGGGAAACCCUGAUGCAGCGACGCCGCGUGAGUGAAGAAGUAAUUCGUUAUGUAAAGCUCUAUCAGCAGGGAAGAAAAUGACGGUACCUGAGUAAGAAGCCCCGGCUAACUACGUGCCAGCAGCCGCGGUAAUACGUAGGGGGCAAGCGUUAUCCGGAUUUACUGGGUGUAAAGGGAGCGUAGACGGCAGUGCAAGUCUGGAGUGAAAGGCGGGGGCUCAACCCCCGGACUGCUCUGGAAACUGUACGGCUGGAGUGCAGGAGAGGUAAGUGGAAUUCCUAGUGUAGCGGUGAAAUGCGUAGAUAUUAGGAGGAACACCAGUGGCGAAGGCGGCUUACUGGACUGUAACUGACGUUGAGGCUCGAAAGCGUGGGGAGCAAACAGGAUUAGAUACCCUGGUAGUC